GUGCGAAGGUAGCAUAAUCACUUGUUCUUUAAAUGAGGACUCGUAUCAACGGCACUACGAGGGCUAUACUGUCUCCUUUUUCUAAUCAGUGAAACUGAUCUCCCCGUGAAGAAGCGGGGAUCAAAAUAUAAGACGAGAAGACCCCAUGGAGCUUUAAACUCACCACGCACCUCUGUGUCCUCAUACCCUUAAACACAAGAGAUCUACGUGCUAGUUUUAGGUUGGGGGGACCACGGAGUAUAACUUAACCUCCAUAACAAAUGGGCUAACACCCUUAUCCAUGAGACACAGCUCUAAGAAUUACUAAACUAAUGCUUAUGACCCGAUAUUCGAUCAAUGAACCAAGUUACCCUGGGGAUAACAGCGCAAUCUACUUCAAGAGCCCAUAUCGACAAGUAGGUUUACGACCUCGAUGUUGGAUCAGGGUAU
rnacentral:rRNA from 1 species